GAGGAAGAGCUUUCAGCUACCAGGCACCUCUCCUCUGGAAUCAUUUACCGCUCGAGGUUCGGGGGGCAGACACCCUCUCAACUUUCAAGAGUAGACUUAAAACGUUCCUCUUUGAUAAAGCUUAAAGUUGGGGCUGAUUUGAACCAGCUCUUAGUUAUGCUGCUAUAGGUUUAGACUGCCAGGGUUAUCUGGCACACUGAGCUAGAGUCUGUCUCCAUCUCUCCUUUAGAUCUUUAUGUCCCAUAUAAUCACUAACCAGAUUUCUCUCUCUCUGAGUGUCUCUGAGUCUCUUAGCUUCCCCUGGACUAAUGCUGCAGAUGGUCUGCUUGAUUGUCCACCCCAGGCCCUGAGCUCCUCCAUCUCUAAGGCUCCUCUGGACCGUUGCUGCAGACACUCUCUAGGUUGCUCUGGACUGAUGGCUGCUGCAGACCUGCCUGACUCCAGCCGCAUCGUCUACGAUUGUCCUCCUCAGGCCCUGAGCACCUUCUUCUCUUGGGUUCCUCUGGACUGUUACUGCAGACAUGAACAUCAGCCUCACUGACAUUAAUAACAUAAAACUAGAGUUGACUACUAAUAGGCCUGCUGACUAUAAUCACAUUUAAUUAAUUUAACAUAGUCCAUAAUUACUCAUAUCCUAAUCCCUGUAAACUGAAUUCAUUUAGUUUCACCAUUGAGCUGUUGUUGUUGUUGCUGUUGUUCCUGCUGUCCCCUGUCUCUCUCUCUCACCCUCGUUCUCUACUCUCUCUCCCUCCCCCAGUGGCAUGGUGGCCGUCUAGCAUGAGUCUGGUCCUGCUCAAGGUUUCUGCCUGUUAAAAGGAAGUUUUUUUCUUGCCACUGCUACUCAUGUUAGAUGAGAUGGGCCAAAACCCAUCUUAGGUUGGUUCUUGAUCAUCAAACAAUGAACGUGGUCUAGACCUGCUCUUGUUCUUUGAAAAGCGUCUUGGGAUGAUGACUGUUGUGAAUUGGCGCCAUAUAAAUAAAACUUGAUUGAUUGAUUGAAAGACUACAAUUUAUUUAAAAUGCUGCUGUCAGGCUUAUAACACUUAGUAAGAGAAACAGCCAUAUAACACCAGUCCCUCCUGCCCUUCAGUGGCUCCCUGUGAGUUUUAGAAGAGAUUCGAAGAUUCUGCUGCUUCUUUGUAAAGGCUGAAAUGGCUCCAUCCUAUAUCUGUGAUCUGCUAACUCCCUUUGAGCUUGAUCCCAGCCUGAGGUCCUCUAACAGGGCCCUCCUCAUGGUUUAUAAAUCUCUACUGGUUACAAGAGGUGACCAAGCAGUUGCAAUUGGUGCUGGACUCUCUGCCUGAGGAUAUCAAACAGACAAACUCAGUGUUCCUCCUUUGAAUCUCUUCUCAAAACUCUAUUUGGCUCAUUGGCUUUGUUGUGUGCUUGUUGCCUUACAUUAUUACUUAAGUAUUGGAUCUUACUUUACUGUAAACUAUUUUAAUUAGUUAUUUGAUUAAAAUUUAAUUAAACUCAUUGUUUUUAAAAAAUCUUAGCUAUUUUAACUGUUAAAGAUCCUGUGGGGAACUUUAAGUUUGUGUUAGUUUUAGCGCCCCUUGUGGACAAAGAGGCCUUUGCCUAUCCAGUACGCUACAUGCUUGAGUAGUGAUUUAUGUCAACACAUCCCAUAAUGCUGAUUUUUGAUUGUCAAAUGUGUCAUUUAUUGAAAACAGUUUAGAUGAAAGUUGUAAAAACAGGGUUGUUAUUAUAGACUUGAACCUAUCACCUCACAUGGGUUUCAGACAUUAAAUAUAAGGGCAUAAGUCUUGUUCAUUAUAGUUUGUUAGUAUUAUUAUUAUUUUUUGCCUUUGUUCAUCACUAGUUUGCAGGAGCUUUUUAAACAAACCUAAUCGAAGAGUCUGAACUGAGAAUUACCAUACUUGACAUGCUAGCAAUUUCCACCCUCAUUACAACUGUAACAAAGGACCAAAUAUCUCCAUAUAACAUGAAUAAGUAUAAUCCUACUGUGGGGCACUACCUGUCUCUUUGUCACUGUAUAUUACGUGUAACUUUAGAUAAACUGAUUUUGAAAACAAAAUUUCACCUUUAACCCUCUCAAUUUGUCCUACCCCGAUGUGUCCUAAUGUUCGAUUUUCUUCUCCUGUUUGAGUCCAUCCACUGUCCUCUCCCUGUCUUGUGCAGUCCCCUCUGCCAUUUCACUCAAUUAUCCCAUUAACACUGCACAUACUUUCAUCUCCUUUUGCCAGCCCCUUCCUGAUGUUUCCUUCCACACAGCGAUUUCAAUCUGAGUGGUAAACACUUAACCUUUGACCUGCUCAAUAGUCCUCACAAUAGCAGCCUGCUUCUACAUCAAUAACCAUUGCUCUUUGAACACCGUAGGGUCAAUGCACCUUUUUCAACUGAAGUGAUUGUAACAAUUGGAGCCAAAAUGGACUAUCAAAAUAAUGACACUGAACAGUGGGGAUUUAUCGGACUUCAGUGCCUGUCAAUGAGGUUACAUACUCUCCUCUACACUCUCUGGGUCCCUAUGGUGCGAGUGACCCACAUUUGGAAUCUAUCUAAUAAUUUCAGUCUGUCUAAACCAGAUAUUCAGGGGUGUUUGAGGGCAGUCUAUCAGUUGGGUUGCACAGUGGGGGUUGUUAGACCUUUCCACUUAAACUCUAGAAAACCAGCACGGUUUCAGAGUACUCCUUCACUUCAGUGCUGACGCUGGUUGGAUGUAUGUGUUCAGAAAAAUACAGUAAAAUAAAGCAUUCACAACACACAAGACAUGAUUUAAGCAAAGAAUAAGUCAUUAUCUUUAAACUGUUGCCAUGCCUGAGUACAGCACUGAAUAAAAGAGAGCUGUUAUAGGCUCUAAUGGUACUUCAAAACUAGCUGCCUAUUUGCAAGAACAUAACUAUUAUAUAAGCUGUACAAGUCUUUAUUCUGAACAUUCAUAUUUUACACUGACUUCCUUGCAAGCAUAUAUAAAAUGGAUGGUAAUGGAUAGUUUAUUGCUAAUGCCGGGGAAGUUGACAUGAAAAUGAUGAAAAGGCACAGCUCACUGAUUAGAAAUGGAGUUAUUAUUAUUCAGUCUCUUUCUCUAUCAUAAGAUCUUGAUUGAACUGCUUCCAAUGAAGACAGAACAUUAAACUCAAAGUCAACAGAAACAAGCUGUUUUUUUCUAGUAAAAAUAACCAUCUAUUAAUAAUGCAUCCACAUAACAACAGUCAUAAUUCCCCCUCUGUGAAUGUUUUUUUCUGUUUUUUUUUUUAUGAAAGGAGGAUGACCAGGAAGAUUCAGUUCAUAACCACAGUUACUCUCUGGUUAUCUAAAACAAUGUAAGUUUGCUUUGUUGAACAGAUUUGAUGCUGCUUGCAAAAAUUUUAGAGGAUAAUUUAGGUGUGUAAAAAUAUUCAAUAUAGAUGAAUGGUUACACAAAGAGUGGCUUAAAGGCAUGGUUGAUGAUUGGAAAGAUUGGUAAUUACCAUGAACCUCAUUUAUAUGGCGAUCAUGAUCCUAUAGUGCGAUCUUCACAAAGUGAAGAGAAAAAAGAAUGGAAAAAAUCCGUUCACCCUAGCAGGUGCAGGGCUACAAAAACAUUAGCCAAUGGGAGUCAUCUGUCCCGGACAGCUCCUAUUGGUCAGUCUCCUCCUCCACCUCUCCAUCCAAUCACCUCACUGUAUUCAACACACCCCUACCCGUAGUUCUGACCCGUCCCCUCCCACUUUCCCAGCCCUCCUCGGAGCUCUGAGCAGCUAAAAGUAGCAUAGCAGCUUAGCUACAGGAGCUGUGAUGGAGAAGAACACAAAAAAACCCUACUUCUUCUUGCCCCAUCACCAAAAGUGGGAUGAAAACGCAAGAAGACAGAAGAAAGGGUAGAGUCGAAGAGGAAAUGUGACCAAGUAAGGAAUUUAACUCGAAUAAACAUCCGAUCAUCCUUCGAGCGGUGGAGAAAGCUCCACCAGGAUUUGGGCCUUAAAACAGACGAUGAGACAGCAAGGUUUUUGUUGAACAGAUGAUUUUUGCCUUUUAUCCUAGCAGAUUUUACAUAAAUAACCCUUAUUAGUCUCUGCAAUGUCAACACGGUAGCUGUCCAGGCAGCUGUAGGCGGUGCUCGCGAGAAGAGCUAAAGUUUACUGCCACUAGUCACUAGCAAUCCGAUAUGGUGAAUUCUAUUUGAAGCUAACAUA